CAUUGGUAUGUUUCCAUUCUUUAUUCAUAAUAAACUGUAAUCCACUUAUAGUGAAGAUGCUCACGAGGCUUAUCAUUGACUGUAAGAGGAAAAUCAGAGCUACAAAUAGAGUUUCAGGUAAGAGGAAUAUGAGAAAAAAUAUGGAAACUGUUGAUCCUAAUCCUAAGGAUAAUGUUUAAAGCAUGCAAGAGCGAUGAAGGGAGAACAGAGCGAUGGAACAGAAAUUGAAAGAGGUGUGAUGAGAGAGGAGCUUCGAACUCGAAAGUGCUGGGGGUGGAGAACCGAAACCGGAGAGGCUGCGAGAUAGAGAGAGAAGAUGAGUGCGCCGAGGUAGAGAGUC